rnacentral:rRNA from 1 species
CCUACGGGAGGCAGCAGUAGGGAAUAUUGCUCAAUGGGGGAAACCCUGAAGCAGCAACGCCGCGUGGAGGAUGAAGGUUUUCGGAUUGUAAACCCCUUUUGUUAGAGAAGAUAAUGACGGUAUCUAACGAAUAAGCACCGGCUAACUCCGUGCCAGCAGCCGCGGUUAUACGGAGGGUGCAAGCGUUACUCGGAAUCACUGGGCGUAAAGGGGGCGUAGGCGGGAUAGCAAGUCAGAUGUGAAAGUCUAUGGCUUAACCCUAGAACUGCAUUUGAAACUGUGAGUCUAGAGUUUAGGAGAGGUAGGUGGAAUUCGUGGUGUAGGGGUGAAAUCCGUAGAGAUCAAGAGGAAUACUCAUUGCGAAGGCGACCUGCUAGAACAUAACUGACGCUGAUGCGCGAAAGCGUGGGGAGCAAACAGGAUUAGAUACCCGGGUAGUC